GAACGAACGCUGGCGGCAUGCCUAACACAUGCAAGUCGAACGAACCCUUCGGGGUUAGUGGCGCACGGGUGCGUAACGCGUGGGAACCUGCCCUUAGGUUCGGAAUAACAGUUAGAAAUGACUGCUAAUACCGGAUAAUGUCUUCGGACCAAAGAUUUAUCGCCUUUGGAUGGGCCCGCGUAGGAUUAGGUAGUUGGUGGGGUAAAAGCCUACCAAGCCGACGAUCCUUAGCUGGUCUGAGAGGAUGAUCAGCCACACUGGGACUGAGACACGGCCCAGACUCCUACGGGAGGCAGCAGUGGGGAAUAUUGGACAAUGGGCGAAAGCCUGAUCCAGCAAUGCCGCGUGAGUGAUGAAGGCCUUAGGGUUGUAAAGCUCUUUUACCAGGGAUGAUAAUGACAGUACCUGGAGAAUAAGCUCCGGCUAACUCCGUGCCAGCAGCCGCGGUAAUACGGAGGGAGCUAGCGUUGUUCGGAAUUACUGGGCGUAAAGCGCACGUAGGCGGCUUUUCAAGUCAGGGGUGAAAUCCCGGGGCUCAACCCCGGAACUGCCCUUGAAACUGGAUGGCUAGAAUACUGGAGAGGUGAGUGGAAUUCCGAGUGUAGAGGUGAAAUUCGUAGAUAUUCGGAAGAACACCAGUGGCGAAGGCGACUCACUGG
rnacentral:rRNA from 1 species